rnacentral:rRNA from 1 species
GACGAACGCUGGCGGCGUGCCUAAUACAUGCAAGUCGAGCGAGCUUGCCUAGAUGAUUUUGAUGCUUGCAUCAAAUGAAACUAGAUACAAGCUAGCGGCGGACGGGUGAGUAACACGUGGGUAACCUGCCCAAGAGACUGGGAUAACACCUGGAAACAGAUGCUAAUACCGGAUAACAACAAUAGAAGCAUGUCUAGAGGUGGAAAGAUGGGUUUUCUAUCACUCUUGGAUGGACCUGCGGUGCAUUAGCUAGUUGGUAAGGUAACGGCUUACCAAGGCAAUGAUGCAUAGCCGAGUUGAGAGACUGAUCGGCCACAUUGGGACUGAGACACGGCCCAAACUCCUACGGGAGGCAGCAGUAGGGAAUCUUCCACAAUGGACGAAAGUCUGAUGGAGCAACGCCGCGUGAGUGAAGAAGGGUUUCGGCUCGUAAAGCUCUGUUGAUGGUGAAGAAAGAUAGAGGUAGUAACUGGCCUUUAUUUGACGGUAAUCAUUUAGAAAGUCACGGCUAACUACGUGCCAGCCGCCGCCGUAA